rnacentral:rRNA from 1 species
ACGCCCUACGGGACGCAGCAGUGGGGAAUAUUGGACAAUGGGGGGAACCCUGAUCCAGCGACGCCGCGUGAGUGAAGAAGUAUUUCGGUAUGUAAAGCUCUAUCAGCAGGGAAGAAAGAAAUGACGGUACCUGACUAAGAAGCCCCGGCUAACUACGUGCCAGCAGCCGCGGUAAUACGUAGGGGGCAAGCGUUAUCCGGAUUUACUGGGUGUAAAGGGAGCGUAGACGACGAUGCAAGUCUGAAGUAAAAGGCGGGGGCCCAACCCCCGGACUGCUUUGGAAACUGUAUAGCUGGAGUGCAGGG